rnacentral:rRNA from 1 species
AGUGGCGGACGGGUGAGUAACGCGUGGGGAACCUGCCCCAUACCGGGGGAUAACAGCGGGAAACCGCUGCUAAUACCGCAUAAGCGCACACUGAGGCAUCUCAGAGUGUGAAAAACUCCGGUGGUAUGGGAUGGACCCGCGUUGGAUUAGCCAGUUGGCGGGGUAACGGCCCACCAAAGCGACGAUCCAUAGCCGGCCUGAGAGGGUGAACGGCCACAUUGGGACUGAGACACGGCCCAGACUCCUACGGGAGGCAGCAGUGAGGAAUAUUGGACAAUGGAGGCAACUCUGAUCCAGCCAUGCCGCGUGAAGGACGAAGGCCCUAUGGGUCGUAAACUUCUUUUGUCGUAGAGCAAUAAGGUGUACGCGUACAUCGAUGAGAGUAUACGACGAAUAAGCAUCGGCUAACUCCGUGCCAGCAGCCGCGGUAAUACGGAGGAUGCAAGCGUUAUCCGGAUUUAUUGGGUUUAAAGGGUGCGUAGGCGGACGUAUAAGUCAGCGGUGAAAGGUACCGGCUCAACCGGUGAGCUGCCGUUGAAACUGUGCGACUGGAAUGCGGAUGCCGUGGGAGGAAUGUGUGGUGUAGCGGUGAAAUGCUUAGAUAUCACACAGAACACCGAUUGCGAAGGCAUCUCACGAAUCCGUUAUUGACGCUGAGGCACGAAGGCGUGGGGAUCAAACAGGAUUAGAUACCCUGGUAGUCCACGCGGUAAACGAUGAUGGCUAACUGCCGGCGAUAUAGUGUCGGUGGCCAAGCGAAAGCGAUAAGCCAUCCACCUGGGGAGUACGACCGCAAGGUUGAAACUCAAAGGAAUUGACGGGGGCCCGCACAAGCGGAGGAACAUGUGGUUUAAUUCGAUGAUACGCGAGGAACCUUACCCGGGCUCGAACGGCUGAGGAAUGAGUUAGAGAUAAUUCAGUCCGCAAGGACUUCAGUCGAGGUGCUGCAUGGUUGUCGUCAGCUCGUGCCGUGAGGUGUCGGCUCAAGUGCCAUAACGAGCGCAACCCUUGUCGUCAGUUACCAUCAAGUAAAGUUGGGGACUCUGGCGAGACUGCCACCGCAAGGUGAGAGGAAGGGGGGGAUGACGUCAAAUCAGCACGGCCCUUACGUCCGGGGCGACACACGUGUUACAAUGGUGGGUACAGAGGGAUGCUACCUGGUGACAGGAUGCGGAACCCGAAAACCCAUCUCAGUUCGGAUUGGAGUCUGCAACUCGACUCCAUGAAGCUGGAUUCGCUAGUAAUCGCGCAUCAGCCGUGGCGCGGUGAAUACGUUCCCGGGCCUUGUACACACCGCCCGUCAAGCCAUGAAAGCCUGGGG